ACUGUGGAAAUUAUAAUUUAUGAGGUGCAAUUGAGUUUCUUCUUUAUUUGUUAGUUCUUGCAAUUGUUACAUUCUACUUGGUAUAUUCAUUCUUUAUAAUGAACUUUAUUUUUAAUUCUGGCUAUGGUAGUGAUCAUUUUUAGUUGUUGAUGAAAUUUUUUCUCUGUAUUUAGUCAUUUCAAAUUGGUGCAUUGCAGAAAUGUAUAAUUG
rnacentral:misc_RNA from 1 species